CAAUAGCGUAUAUUAAAGUUGUUGCGGUUAAAAAGCUCGUAGUUGGAUUUCUGCUGAGGACGACCGGUCCGCCCUCUGGGUGAGUAUCUGGCUUGGCCUUGGCAUCUUCUUGGAGAACGUAGCUGCACUUGACUGUGUGGUGCGGUAUCCAGGACUUUUACUUUGAGGAAAUUAGAGUGUUUCAAGCAGGCAAACGCCUUGAAUACAUUAGCAUGGAAUAAUAAGAUAGGACCUUGGUUCUAUUUUGUUGGUUUCUAGAGCUGAGGUAAUGAUUAAAUAGGGGGAGUUAGGGGUUCGGGGGACUUACGUUUACGUUUAACUUUAACGUUCGUACGAAGGGUAGGGUAAGUUAAACUUUCGGUUAGGUUAGUUUUUAAAGGUUAAAACGGAACCGGUAACCUUACGUCGGAAACGGAAACGACUUUAGUUUCCGAACCGGAAAGGUAG
rnacentral:rRNA from 1 species